GCAGUGGUGGUCGAGUGGUAGGACCCUUACCUUCCAUGUGGGAGACCCAGAUUCGAUUCCUGACCGAUACA
rnacentral:tRNA from 1 species